AAGGACCAUCGCCUCUGUGGCACCCAACUCAGAUCAGGCCAUUUUGCUAACGAGUGGUGGUAGUGGUGGUGGGGGUGUUGGAACACAGACGCCGGACCCAGCCUCCAAGCUUCCUCCUCCCGCGGCGGGCCCAGGGGCUGGGCCGCCCCCACAUUUGCAGCCACCCCAAGAGCCUUGCUGCGACGACUGCAGCCACGUGGGAGCCAGCUUGUGCCCACGGGGCCGCUCACCUCCCCACCCCCAUCUUCGACGAGCUGUGGAGGCAGGCACACCCAGACGGGUGAAGUUAUUACCCCCGCGGCUCGAGGAGAACCCUCCCUGAUGUCCUCAUGGCUGAUCUCUACCAACUCCUGCACAGCCUGACUUCCAGCAUCACCACUGUCUCAGCUCUGCUCAGGCACAUUUCCGGAUUCCUGGGUGGAGAGAUGGCUCUGGAGAGAUGGCUCUAAUGUACCAGCCCUAGGCUGAGCAUACAACAGGUGUCCAGCAGGGCAAGGGAAGCAGGAAGACCCCUGGAACACCAGGAGCAAGAAAAGAGGCAGGCAGGGCAGCUGGCCAGGUUUGUGCUCGACUGUAUUCACUCAGAGACACGUGGCAGCUUACAUUGGACAAAAUGAGUAAUAAAAAUUGGCUUUAAA